AGAGGCUUAGAAGUCAUGAAGUCUAACCCCCUUAUUAUACAGAUAAACAACAUGAGGACAUAGAGGUAGAGUGGUUUACCUAAGAUCUAGCCCAUAUCAAACAGCACUCAGAAUGUCAAAGGCAGGUCACCAAGGGACUAGACCCUCCCUCUGAAGAACAGUAUAUUUCUUUCUUGUAGACAACAUAUGGUAGGAUUUUCUAUCCUAAUCCACUCUCCUAUUCAUCUACGUUUUAUGGGUUCCCACAUCAGCAGAGGAAAAGGGCAAAUAGUGUGCAUGACCAGGAAAUGUGGGACAAGAAAACAAAUGAAAGGCACCCAUGGAGGAGACACAUGAACCUGAAGAGGAGACAAAUAGGGACAAGUAGGGCCAGCAUCCUUCAAAUCUCUCUCCCUGAUGAACUGUUAAAAUCAUCCGGUUAGGUCAUGAUUCUGUUCUCCCCUGUUCUGUAUUAUGUCCCCUCUCCAGACUAGGUUAGCACGGUCUCUCCCAAGCAUCAGUUUUAAUCUUCUAGAUAGUGACAUGCUUUCUGCUGCCACCUCCUGGAUCACAGAGAGCCCUUCAGGUCCAUCUAUUCUCUGCUUCAGUGGGCAGUGGCUUGAGGCCAGCUCAUCGAUUUCAGUGCUCAUCCAAGGCUUUGGCUUAUGACACCUAGGGAGAGAGGCAACAAGAAUUAUCAGAAUGCCUCCUGUAAGAAUGCUUUGUUCUUUUUAUUCCUUUUGUCUGGUGCUGACCCAAGGUCUGUUGUUCCCAAACAGCUAUCUGAAAAAGCUAGAAAAUUCUUUAUGAUUCCCAUUAAAUUCCUGACUGUGGU